CCAGCAGGCCGGGCAGCCGCUCCCCGCCCCGUGCGGGGAGAGGAAAGUCCGGACUCCACCGGGCAGGGUGCCAGGUAACGCCUGGGCGGCGCGAGCCGACGGAAAGUGCAACAGAAACAUACCGCCUCCGGUCGCCCCCGGCGGCCGGCGGUAAGGGUGAAAUGGUGCGGUAAGAGCGCACCGGCGUCCCGGUAACGGGGCGGCCGUGCAAACCCCACCCGGAGCAAGGCCGAAUAGGGGAGGAGGGUGCCCGGCCCGCCACAACUCCCGGGUUGGCCGCUAGAGCGCGCCGGCGACGGCGCGCCCAGAGAGAUGGCUGCCGCCCCGCCUCCGCGGGGUACAGAAUCCGGCUUACAGGCCUGCUGGACGC
rnacentral:RNase_P_RNA from 1 species